UAGAGAACUGGGGCUAAUACCGGAUAGGAGCUCCUGCUGCAUGGUGGGGGUUGGAAAGUUUCGGCGGUUGGGGAUGGACUCGCGGCUUAUCAGCUUGUUGGUGGGGUAGUGGCUUACCAAGGCUUUGACGGGUAGCCGGCCUGAGAGGGUGACCGGCCACAUUGGGACUGAGAUACGGCCCAG
rnacentral:rRNA from 1 species